UUGAACGCUGGCGGCAUGCCUUACACAUGCAAGUCGAACGGUAGAGUAGCAAUACUCGAGAGUGGCGAACGGGUGAGUAAUACAUCGGAACGUGCCCGAUCGUGGGGGAUAACGCAGCGAAAGCUGUGCUAAUACCGCAUACGGUCUACGGAUGAAAGCGGGGGAUCGCAAGACCUCGCGCGGACGGAGCGGCCGAUGGCAGAUUAGGUAGUUGGUGGGAUAAAAGCUUACCAAGCCGACGAUCUGUAGCUGGUCUGAGAGGACGACCAGCCACACUGGGACUGAGACACGGUCCAGACUCCUACGGGAGGCAGCAGUGGGGAAUUUUGGACAAUGGGGGCAACCCUGAUCCAGCCAUUCCGCGUGAGUGAAGAAGGCCUUCGGGUUGUAAAGCUCUUUCAGCCGGAACGAAACGGUACGCUCUAACAUAGCGUGCUAAUGACGGUACCGGCAGAAGAAGCACCGGCUAACUACGU
rnacentral:rRNA from 1 species